rnacentral:lncRNA from 1 species
AUUCCCUCCUCCAAUCGCUCGAUUCCUUCGCGCGAUUCCUCGAUUCGACAAAACCCUCGAGCGAGCCCCCCUUCCCCCUCCGAUCGCCUGAUUCCUCCAAUCGAGAAACCGUAGGAGCUAAAACACCUAGGGCGAGCCCCCUCGGGCCCCUCCUCUCUCCUAUCGCCAGAUUCCUCCCAUCGAUAAACCGUAGAGCGUAUCCAGUUAGGUUGCUCUAUCAUUGGUAGGCGAGAUUACUUCUCACUGGAGCGAGGAUUUUAAUCGGAAGAGGUAAUCUAUUUACUCCUGUUCAUUGAUUUUCAAAUCCCUUUAUUCAAUUCUUAGUUGUUUUAUCUAUCUGGCCAUUUUAUGAUUUGCUUUUGUUUCUUCUGUAUAUACGAUGGAAUCUGUAAUCUUCGUGUUUUGAUACGUACCACUUUUCAGUAUUUUCCUGCAGAGUAAUUAGGAUGAAAUCGAGUCCGAUGAAGUGAUUGCAGUGAUUUAUUGAUGAGAACGAGUUUGAAGAGACUGGAUGAUUCGACGAUGGGACCAGAGAGGAUACCAUUGCACGGCUAGAUCAGAUGAAUAUAUCUAAUGUUGAAGGUCAAAUCCUCUUUUCCUAACCUAUUUCUCUUUCGCGCAUCUCUGCUUUAUGUACAGUUUUAGAUGCUGGCUCUUCUUACAGAAAGUUUAAAGCAAGUACAUCUUACUUUAAAGAACAUCUUACUUUAAACUAGAUUCUACUAUUGAAGGCAAGGUUAGUUUUCUUCUUCUUCGUCUUCCUUCUGUUUGCACACAUCUUGCAACUCAGAGUUAACCUUAGUUUAGGCAACAUAAACUUGAGACCGCUCCUUUGAUGUUGAUGAAUUUCUUAAAAUGUCAAGCAUGCAUGGAUCUUUGAUCGAUAGUUAUCUCUUGUCAAUUUUAAAUCCAACCUAUGGUUCCUUUUUGGGAUCACCAGGGAAAAGAUAUCAAGCUCCGAACUGGAGAUUGGUUUUAGUUUUGAAUGAGCGCAUGUGUUGAUAAGGGUUCGUAUCAGGUCUGGAAUGGCUUUUAAUGACAUCAACAACUGAGGCUAACUUAAUACAGAGUGAAAUGUUCUAAAUCAAGCGAAUAAACUAGAGUUGCAUCUCACCUAUUUAUUUGUUUGAUUCGGGAUGACUUGUUAUGUCUUACCUAUCUAUAUAGGUGAUACGGGUUUGUGUCGUCCCAACUUGAAAGCUUUUUGAGUCAAGUCUAGGUCUAGCGCAUGACCUGAUUUGAGUCCUCGAACCUUUGCUUUUGAAUAAGAACACAUCACAGUUAAUUGCUUCAUCAGGGCUAAAACAGAUAUAUGGGUUGAAGUGAAACAUAGCCAUUAAGAGGUCAUUUUGGAUAAAAUGUGUUGGAGACUUAGGUUAUGUUACUGAGUGAUUGAUACAGAAUUUCGAGGGGCUAAGUGGACCCAUGACUAGCCAGGCUUGUGCUUAGGUCAGCCUUCCCUUCACUCAUAUCUAAUUGGGCUGGAUUUUGUUUGACCGCAUAAGGCUAUUACUUGGAUGCAAACCCACUAUACACAAUCAAGUACGUUCAUUACUUUUUCUAACAUAUUGAGAUUAAUGCAUAUUAUUCAACUAGUUCUUUCUAACCUUCUCGUCUUAUUUCUUUAACCAGUGGUUGAUACUGUGAGUGGUUAGGAAAAUAUUUUUGCAUUUUCCUUCCAUCUCUCUGAGGAAGAUACUCCUCCUUCCUCUUCUUGUAGUUGUCUAUAUUCAUUUUAUUAAUUUUUUUCAUUUCUAUAUUAUCCUUUUUCGAUCACUAUCACUUAUCCCUCCCUUUCCCAUUUCUUACUCUUCUUUGUUUAUGGUUUUGUUGCGUAUAGGCUUUGAUUUCUGUUUGUUUUAUUUUAUGUUAUGUCUGAUUUUCUUUCUUUUGUAAUCUACUUUUGUGUUGCUUUCGCUAUUUUUUUUUUUCUUGUUUACUCUCUGAUGUAAGUGAGUUCAAGUAUCUAGAACUUCCGAAAAAUUAUUUUUGCAAUAUUUAUUUCUAUUUUUUGUUGUUUCUAUUUACCUAUCACUUUAUAGUUGUAAAUUGACUUAUUUUUACAAUUAUUUUAAUUAUUAUUGUAAUUUCCUCACAAUAUUAUUAAAACUUUGUAUUCUUUUAUCUGGAACACUGUGAUAUUAAAGGGGCGCAUCUGCUUCUUUAUUUUUCUAUAACAAGUUUUACUGAUAUUUUCUCCUCACUUUUUUGAAUUGUUAUUUCUUUUGUUAUCCUUUGUCUAUCCUUUUCCGUCUUUGCUCCGCCUCUAUUUUAUGUGUUAUUAUUUCUUUUUUUCAUUUUGAUAUGUUCCUUUCAUUUGCCAAUUUGGAUUUUCGUGUUCUAGUGUUUUUUUCCUUUCGUAUUUUGUAAACUUUCUUAUGUAUAGUUUUCACUUUUUUCUGUUUGUUUAAUGAUGUUAAUUUUGUUUGCUUAAUGAAUUUUAUAGUGUUAAUGAAUUUUAUAGCGCUGACACUAUAGGGUUUUCUAAACAAAUACAUGUGUUGAAAUAAAACUAUUCUUUUUGGAUUAAAAGGGUUAAAGAGUUAGGUGAUCAGUUUCCGUGUGACAUACCCCAAGCCCUAAACCUGAACUCGUAGUCCUAAACCAUUCUAAAUUCUAAAAUCCCUAAACUCUAAGGGCUUGUUUUGUUCGUCUAUUUUUGACUCUUGAAUCAGAAUGAGGUUCACUGAUUUUAAUAGUUAUUGUUUGUUCACAAGAGUUAGAUUUCGAUUUUGUUCACAAGAAUUAGAUUUUGAUUCUCAUUCCACUUUGGAAUGGGAUUUGACCCAAUUCAUUUAUGGCCUAAUCUGUCCUUGAAUCCUAGAUUGGCCCAUUCUGGAGUUAACCACUUAGAGCCCUCUCUCACAAACACCUCCCUCUCCACUCCCUUCAUCAUUCUUUUCUCUCUAAACAAAAAUUCUCUUUCAAAAUUCUAGGUGUCCUAAUUGACCAUUCUGAUUUUUAUUCCAAUAAAGAACCAAACAUUUUUUGGAUGAUUCUUCAUUCCAUUUCUCAUGUCAAUGCAGUCCAAUUCCAUUUCCAAUUCUUAUUCCAAUCAUGAACGAAACAUGCUGUAAAUGCGAAAAUGUUUCUCCCAAGGAUUUCCUUGCAAGCUCAGUGUAGAGAAAUCUGAUUUCUGCAAGAUAGGCUUCACAAUAACAAUUACAUGGCAUCUCCUUGUCUUGAUUUAUACUCCAAUCUUUUACAAUCUCCGUCAUUAUCAAAUUAGGUGAAUUAUGGGAGUAUCCCUAUUAUUAUAAAGCAUUCCGAAAAGAUAAUUUUUGGCAGUAUGAUUUGGAGAUAGAAGGCCUGCUUGCAGAAGCGUUCUAGUAAGUGUUGAAAAGAAAACCCCCGACGUAGAGUAGAAGCCCUGCCAAGAAAAUAGAUGUGAGGGUCACAUUGCGUGGCAUCUUUCCUUCAUCGCUUCUGAAGAACAGAGCCUCAUAGAUAGGCAAGCAGUUGGCUGCAAUGAAUCCGGCUAAGAACAAGUGCACAAACAUUUCGUCGAGCACUCCGAUACCUAUGACAGCUGCUCUUGUGAUCCCAGCAAUAAAGGAGGCUAAGUUCAGGAUUGCUGUCGUCCCCAGCAAGAUGAAGAAGGGUGAGGCUAUGCCGAAAUCGAAGACCUCGUUAUCGUAGCGCUUGCGCUGCUCUUCUUCCAUGGCUUUGCUGGUCACAUUGAAGCCUUGCGAAGGUAUGCCAGCUUGGUUGAGUGCAAAUUCGAUAGUCCCAAAGAGAAAUGAUGUGACACCUCGGAUCAUCCACAUCCUCUGGUCGCUCCACCACCUCGCGACACUUCCCCCGCUCAUUACAAAUUCGGCGAGGUCUUGGCCGUAAGCGGCCAAGAAGAGGUACGCGCACAAGUAAAUCCUCGGUUCAGAAGCCUGCAAAUAUUUACAUAUAUAUUAUGUGUUAGUAUCUCUAUCGCAAGCAGGUUGUCUCUAGUUUUUAGUUACCACGGUUUUACGAAAUACUACAGAACAAUACUAGUAAUUAUCAUUGCUGGUGUGCCUGUGCACAACAAGCAAUGAAACAAUCUUCUUUAAACUAACCUACCUAGCUAUAACUCAAACAAAUAUACAGAAUUAAUGAUUAAUUUGAGUAAUGGAGCACGGGAUUGUUGUGGAUAUAUAUGGGUUAAGAGACUUGUGUGUGAAAGGGGCUGUAUAAUUUGUGUACUGGUCUGAUGCAAUAUAUUGAACAGAUCAGAGAGAUGCUUACCUUUGGAAAGAGGGACCUCUGGCUGACUAGUGCUAGCUGUGGGAGAAGGGCAUAUGUUAUGAUAGGAAUACACCAAAUGCCCCAGAAGGCGUAAUAUCCAUAGCCUAAUCCCAUUGGCAGGGAAGCGUUCCUUGCACCGAACGUGAGGGGACUGUAUCUUGAGAAGGCCACCUCAAAGAGCCCCACAACCCAUCUCUUGCACUGGCUCAGUGAAUCAUGUAGGCUCUUUGGUGCAUCUCCCAAGAACGCAGGCCGUGCUGGGUCGCUAAACACCGACUCCCAUCCUUCACAGUGCAGUCAAAAGCCUGUGUAGUAAUCUUCAACGAGCGACCCAUACCUAAAACCGAGCUGCAAAAUUUACAAACAAACAAAUCAGCUGCAUUUCAUCAUGCACAUUGAUUCAAUUGUUAAUUUGACUAAACGGGCCGGAGAUGGAAAGCUGUGUAAAGUAUAUAUAGACAUGGAGGUCUUGCUUGUGAGAAAUCAGAUGCAUCUGGCCAGGGUACAUCAAUUGCAAGCUAAUCUAUUGUAAGAUAGAUAUAAUAAGUCCGUCCAGCACUGGCACAUUUAACGUUUAGAAUUUGAUUUUUGAAGAAAAAAGAUAGAGGCGGCACCAAAUGAAGCAAUCUCUUGACGUGCUUCUCAAUUCCACUCACCGUAGAACCCCAUUUUGUACCCAGCUCGUAGUCACAGGCAGCCAUGUCAUGCACCUGAGCCAUGGUUGGCUCCGAGCCAAUGAAACCAAUAUAAGGAGCUUUGGAAUUUGUCAAGUUUGAAGAAGGUGAGAAGGAGCCACAGAGGGCAUGACGGGAGUGGAAACAGUUGGUGCCUACGAAGUCAGGCCCGCGGAGACCAUCCAAGCCGUAGCUAUUAAUUCUGAAGGACCGCCGAAUCUCGCCUCCGUAUAUGUCAUGCUUGUUGAGCCCCUCAAAAUGCUGUGGGAACUGAACAAAGGCAAGCUUUGGGGCAAGCGACGGAUCGAGGAAGUAGCAGAGGGCUCUUUGGGGAGAUUUGGGGUCGUUAGCGUACAUGUCGCAGUCAACCGUCAGAACAAUAGGAGCAUUGGACAUGAUUCCCGACACUCGAAGCUUGUGAGGGUUAACGAGAAGAAAAUCGACUUUAGUUAGUAUAAUGAAUGUCGAGGAGAAGGUAAUUAUAAUGAUGAUGAUUUUAUUGACAUAGCUUGGAGUGUGCUGGUACCAGGACAUUGAGCGCGCCGGCCUUGAAGUGGUGAGGAGAGCUGGGACGUUUCUCUCUCGAGAGGUAGACGAGAUUUGGCAACGGAGUGUUUGUUAUAUCUCUGUCUUCAUCACUUUUGAGCAGAACCUAUAAAUUAAAUUGGAACCCCAAAUAAAACAAUCUGCAUACUGUUGAGCAGAUACUUGUGCAUCAAUCUUGAGAUGGGUAGCAUGCUACCAAUCUCGGUUUUCUAAACAAAAGAUAAUUUUUGUAAGCGAAAUUAACUGUGCUUGAUUAUGAUGUAACAUUAGUUUAACACUCUUAUGUAGCUAAGAGAUUUGAUUAAGAACAAUGACUACUCAUUAAAUCCGCAAUUUAACAUAAUUUAAUUGCAUUGAGACUCUGUCAAGCAGAUAAUAAAUUGAUACUUGAUCACGAAUCAUAGCGCUGUGCCGCUGUCCAGUUUGUAAAUCUUGGGUAUUUAAUUAAUUAUACAUAUAAGGUGAGAAAUAAUUAAGUUAACCUUGAUGAUAGAAGGGUGAUUGUUGCGAACAAAUCCCUUCCAUUUGUCGAAAAGCUCGCGCUCUUCCGCAGAGACAGUAAAGUCAUUUGUAACACAGCCUUUCUCCAUUGCACUUCCCACAUUCUCUUUCAUGGCAUCAAACAUCAUCUGCAAUAUUGUGUACAGAAGAAAGGAAAACAGUGAGAGCAUUCAAACUCUGCAAAUGUAGAACAGAUCGAAGGUAUAAAAUGCCGUUUUCUUCCUUUUCUUUUAUCAUAUGUAGCCUUUCUUGAACUCUUUAGCAAAUUGAAGUUGGCAUGCUGAGGCAUAGGACAAUAAUGUGACUUGAUUUAGAAAGUUAAAGAAAUAAACACACUUAAGGGAAUCAAAUCCACAUCCACUUCUCCAUUUGGAUUGUAGAUGGCGCAACGAAGUUAAAGAGUGAUGCUGGUUUUUGUAGAACUUUCAUAAAUAGGUGUAUCCUUUUCCUUUGUAUGCAGAUCCCUGUUGAGUUAAGUGGCAUGAUGCUGCGGUUUGUAAGUCCUAGGCUAGAUAAAUGUACACCCACGUGAAGAUGACAAUUGUUAAAUAUAAAAAUAUUUAAACACCGUUCUCUAACAGCUUAAGCUUUUAGAGUACAACGGUUGUUUCACAUGGUAUCAGAGCAGGAGGUCCUGAGUUCGAAUCACGCCAGGCUCCUAGCAUAUUACCGAUUAAAAAGUCUCGGGCCGGGAGAGUGUUAAAUAUAAAAAUAUUAUCUUGACGCGAUGCAUCGUCUCGUUCGAUAUCUAAAAGAAGCACCAGGUCAAGGGCUGUUCUUUCCUUCACAGGGACAAUUAAAACUAAAUAGCUACUGCGACGCGGAUUGGGCCGGAUGUCCAACCACACGACGUUCUAUGACAGGGUAUUGUAUAUUUCUUGGGAGUGCGCUUGUGUCAUGGAAGAGUAAAAAGCAAGCCACAGUGUCGAGAUCCUCAGCAGAAGCGGAAUACAGAUCUAUGGCAGCAGUCACUUGUGAGCUCACUUGGUUGAGGUACCUUUUACGAGAUUUGCGCAUUGAACAUCUUGAACCUGUCAGGUUGUUUUGUGAUAAUCAAGCAGCAAUACACAUUGCUGCAAAUCCAGUAUAUCACGAACGAACGAAGCACAUAGAGUUAGGUUGUCACACGAUACGCGAACGAAUUCAAAAUGGGGAGAUAGAGACGGCCUAUGUCCAGACGAGACGACAAAUUGCUGAUAUAUUCACAAAACCACUAGGACAAGUCGUUUUUCGAUCACAUCUCAGCAAGUUAGGAGUUCAUGACAUUCACGCUCCAACUUGAGGGGGAGUAUUAAAGGAAAGAAAUUAUUUUGUAUUUCAAUCAAGAGAUUUGUGUAUAGCUGGAAUUAGGAAUAAUAAUAGGCAUCAUGUCUGUUGCUUAUGACUAAGAGAAAUCAUAGGAAUCCUAGCUGUAAUAUACCUAGUAUAGUUGUUUUUUACUGGAUAUAAAGCAAAAGGCUUGUAAUGGUCUGAGAUAUACACAAUAUAUGAAGAAAUUUCUUCACAUUAAUUUGUUUUUCUUCUACAUUUUCUAACAACAAUCCUUAUUAACUUACUGGGGACCUGAUUGGAUGCCUAACAAUAUAUUUUCUUGAGUUUAAAACAUUGCUGUGUGGGCAUGACUGAUCACUGUGAUUACCAUUAAAUUUUUUUUUUCGAGCAUUGGAGUGUUUGGAUUGUCAAAAUAUUUCUUAUAUUAAAAUAUAGUCAUCUCUCUAAAAUUGACUGCUUGGUUAUAUGAAUAUUUUAUAUGGUAUAUUUUUUAGAUUUACUCAAGACCCAUGUAGUAUCUUUAGGUGAGGAAUUUAAUUAAAUGUUUAGAAUGGAAUACCAUUUAAACCCAUUUUUUCGGACUACGCUAAAGUAUCUCUUAGAUGAAAUUGCUAUCCUACAGAGUAACAAGGUAAGUGGAGGAACAAAUAUGAACUCCAUUUUCGAAUCACAGGAAAUCCCCAUAGGCCCUAGCCUUCUUGGAUGAAAGCUUAUUCAGCAUAUCUAUAUAUAUCUAUCUUCUUAUAUAUAUAUAUAUAUAUAUAUAUAUAUAUAGUAUAUAUGAAAGUUUAAUUUCAAAUACUGAUGUGGCAUGGGGUCGAUAUUCAACAAAAAUAACUAUGGCAUCUUUUGCCAUUUGUAAUAUCUUAUUUGAUAUGAGAAUUUUUAUUGUGAUUGAAAGCUAAAAAUCAAAUCAAAUGAAUAGUAUAUUUGACCCCAAAUUAUUUUUUUGGGAAUAAAAUAAAUUAUCUCGUAAGUGAAAUAUAUUAUUAAUCUAUUAUUCUAAAUUAUAAAUAUGAAAAGCUUUCGAAGAGCGAAAAAUUAUUUUUUUUUGGCUUUCAACUAUACAAAAAUAUUCUUCUAGUGAAUAAAUUAUCUUUAAAUAACAUUUUUUGAUAUCAAAAUAAAACCUUAAUGGGCAUAAAUCAAACUUAUUAGCUUGCAACACACAAAAAGAAUUUCAGUUCGAAUAGUAAGUUAUUAUUUGCUAUCUUAUUUUAGUGAAUGACAAAUUUUAUAUGGCCGCGCGUGCAACGUGUUGUGAUAAGGUCAAUUAAUUUGGGGCCAACCCCAUCAGUUCCCCUGAUCUCCGGUGCCGAGACGGCUCAGAGUUCUUCUCUUCGGGCGCCGACGUCGGUGCGGGCGUCGACGUCGGUGCCAGCGCCGGCGGAGGAAGAGGAGGCAGUUUCGUCCUCGUCGAGGCUGCGGAGGUGGUGGAGGGUCAGAAAAAAAAAAAAAAAAAAAAAAAAGAACGAAAGAAAAAAAAGAAAAAGAAAAAAGAAAAAAACAAGGGUAUUUUUUUUUGUUUGAAUAUGCAAAAUUUAAAAUAGUCGCCCAUUUUUAUAAAAUCGCAAAACUAGAGAAUUUUUUUCUAAAUUUUAUAAUUUUUAAUAUUUAAAUAUUUAAAAUGCUAUAAAAUAAAUUUAAUUAAUUAAAUUUUUUUAAUAUUUUAUUUUUAAUAUUUUUAUUAUAUUUAAAUAUUACAUGUGUCCAUUUUCAUUGGUGCAUCUGGUGCAUGAAAAAUAUAUUUUUAUUUUAGUGCAUAUAUCUAAAAUUUAUAAAUAUUAAUAUAUAAAUAUUUAAAUAUUAUAAAAUAAAUUAAAUUAAUUAAAUUUUAGUUUUGACAUCUUUAUGGUACAAAUUUAUUGAUGUGAAUGAGAUGUAUAUGUACACUAAGUAUAGUCAAUGAGUUCGACUAAAGACCAUUUUAAAUUUGACUCAUCAACUAUGUUAAUUCGAUUAAUAUCUCAUAAUUUUUAAUUAUUUUGAUUUGAGUUAUUUUUUAAAUUGGUUUAAGAAUUUGUUAGAUGUAACAACUUUAUUGCCUUCCAACUAUUAAACUAAUUGGAUUAUUCUUUCAUUUUUUAUUAAUUAUCUAUUGUAAAUCCGAAUUUUAGAAAAAAUAUAUUUAAUUUCUUCAACGUUGGUGCUUAAUUUUGUUAAAGUUAGAGAUUUUUUACAAAAUUAAAUAUAUAUUCAUAAAUUCUAGAAAAAUAUUAUAAAAUUAAUUAAUUAAAAAAUAGCGAAUAAAGUAAAUAUUUAUUAUUUUAUCAUAAUAUUUUUAAUUUUCGAUAUUGCUUGUAUGGAUCGACAAAAAUGAUCUGAAUAAAAUUAAAAGAAUAAGAAGAAAAAAAAUAAAAAAGAAAAAAGUUCGUAACAAAUUUUAUAUUUUAAAAUCAAAUGUUAAUACAAAAUAUGUAUUUAAUAUAUAUAUAUAUGUUUAAUAAUAUUAUAUAUUAUAUUUUAUAAAUUUAAUUUAAAGACACACUCAUCGUACCUGCAGUGAAGCGCGCUGGUACAUUGCUGGUAUGCAUCUAUAAGCUUCAGCUGGUGUUUGGUGAAAGUACCUUCAUCUUCUGGGACUCGGAGUCCCCGCAGCGAUCGGGAGAGGCGAAGUAGGCGUCCGGCG